rnacentral:rRNA from 1 species
UACGUAGGGGGCAAGCGUUAUCCGGAUUUACUGGGUGUAAAGGGAGCGUAGACGGCAGGGCAAGUCUGGAGUGAAAGCCCGGGGCCCAACCCCGGGACUGCUUUGGAAACUGCCAUGCUAGAGUGCUGGAGAGGUAAGCGGAAUUCCUAGUGUAGCGGUGAAAUGCGUAGAUAUUAGGAGGAACACCAGUGGCGAAGGCGGCUUACUGGACCGUGACUGACACUGAAGCACGAAAGCGUGGGGAUCAAACAGG